GGGCCCGUGGUCUAGUGGCUAGAGCCUAUACUCCCACAAAGGAUACCGCCCUCACACGGCGGGGGUCCCGGGUUCGAUUCCCGGCGGGCCCA
rnacentral:tRNA from 1 species